GCGGGUUUAGCUCAGUUGGGAGAGCGUCAGACUGAAGUAAAACUUCGGUGAAAUUCAAUAUCUGAAGGUCAUGUGUUCGAUCCACAUAAACCGCA